AGUGAACGCUGGCGGUAGGCCUAACACAUGCAAGUCGAACGGCAGCACAGUAAGCGCUUGCUCUUACGGGUGGCGAGUGGCGGACGGGUGAGGAAUACAUCGGAAUCUACUUUUUCGUGGGUGAUAACGGAGGGAAACUUAUGCUAAUACCUCAUACGAUCUACGGGUGAAAGCAGGGGAUCUUCGGACCUUUCGCGAUUGAAUGAGCUGAUGUCGGAUUAGCUAGUUGGCGGGGUAAAGGCCCACCAAGGCGACGAUCCGUAGCUGGUCUGAGAGGAUGAUCAGCCACACUGGAACUGAGACACGGUCCAGACUCCUACGGGAGGCAGCAGUGGGGAAUAUUGGACAAUGGGCGAAAGCCUGAUCCAGCCAUGCCGCGUGGGUGAAGAAGGCCUUCGGGUUGUAAAGCCCUUUUGUUGGGAAAGAAAAGCAGCAGGUUAAUACCCCGCUGUUCUGACGGUACCCAAAGAAUAAGCACCGGCUAACUUCGUG
rnacentral:rRNA from 1 species